rnacentral:lncRNA from 1 species
CAACGAUUGGAUCCAGAUGACAUGGCCUUGGCUCCCCCUUUAUAAUUUCCCAGGUCCUUAGAGAAGCUUGGGGAAUCUUUAGGCAACUUCCUGUAGUUGGGUUGGUCCAAUGAUAUGAAUGUCUUACCCACUGAUGGCUAGUGGAAUAAGCCACUCUCUUACAAUGACUAGUGGAAAGUCCCAGGAAGCUUUCAGCUUCGGGUAACAUCAGUUGGGUAAUCAUUGCCAGCUUGGAGAAUGAGUGGUGGCCUUAACUACUUUGGCACCAGCCCUCAUGAGAAAAUACUAUGAGAAAAUACUGUGGAAGGUAUCUUUAUCAAUUGGAUAAGAAAUCUUCCACCCUUUCAGAAGCUGACUUCCAUCUUAUACUCACAAUUGAAUUCUUCUGCAACAAUUUUUGGUACCUCAGCAGAUUACAUGUGCUGUCAUGUAUGAACUGCCCUCUGAAGCAUGAGAACCAGGGAACAACUGUAAUCCAGACCAUGGGAAAUCCUUGUUUCAAAUGCACUGCAGAGAUCAGACGACCGGGAGAUUAAGUUUUGACUGGAGCUCCAGCCUUAAAUAAGACUACUUUUCAGUAUAGAGUCUACACAUUCUAAGUAUCCCAAUAAGUGCAGACUGAGUUGAAUGGAAUGCUGAAUCAAGCUGGAUUUCCACACACCAGGAACCUCUAGGGAUAAUGGCAGCUGGAAACCUUAGUAAGCUGGCUCACCAAUUAGGACAAAGGGGUGAGCCUCCAAUUCUAGUGCAGUGACCUGCCCAGAGCCAAAGUAACAAUUUGUUGCCAACUACUGUAGAUUCUGUUUAUGUGGCAAGGCCCCAGAAGCCUGUGUUUAGAUUAAUGAAAUAUUUGUGCUAAUGCAAAGUUAUUAAAUACACCGUACGUAGUUUAUCAGUCUCCAAAGAUUUAGGCUACGGUAAAAUAUGCUUUAUAAUAAGUAUGGGAGAGAGUGACUAGAACUGUGAUUUAAUUAGUAUGGGGAGGUCCCAGGUGAGAAACCUUCCUGUAUCAAUUCAGGUCAGCACCUUCUCUGCAACCUAGAAACUUGGAGAAUUGCUUAGAGGCUAAAUGACUUGCCCAGGGUCUCACAGGCAGGAUAGUGAGACUUGAAUCCACAUUUAUAUUAUAUAUUAUACCUCUGGUUCUCUAUACUCAUUAAACCAUGAUACUUCAAUAACAACAACAUCAACAGUAACUGACAUUUUUUACAAAUCUUCAAGGUUUUCAAAGUAUGUAUGUGUUUGUAUAUAUGUAUACUAUAUAUGUAGGCAUAUGUCUAUAUAUGUAUGUAUAUCCAC